rfam:Schistosoma rodhaini strain Burundi genome assembly, scaffold: SROB_scaffold0002117
AUCUAACUGACGAGUCCUAAAAUAGGACAAAAUGCGAGUCCUGGAU